rfam:Pseudomonas alkylphenolica strain KL28 chromosome, complete genome.
CUAUAUGGCGGCUGUACGUGGGGCACCUUCGGGUGCGCCGGUUUCGCUCUAGGUGCCCGGUCUGCUAACCCGCGUAUAGCUGCCACCCUU